UGGAGAUUCUUCUCUAGCUGAUUGGGGUUUCUUUCCAAUCCAAUCGAUCCGUGAGUGAUGAAGAUGUUGAGGUGAACGAUUGAAUCAUCUGUUGACAAGAGCUGCGUGUGUUAAUCUGUAGCGGCCAUGGAUGAUCGCAAUGUAUAUUGGUUUGUUUGCUGAAUCUGGUUCAGAUCUCAUGUUGGUGGAUUGUGGUUUGAGACUG
rnacentral:misc_RNA from 1 species